ensembl:lncRNA novel transcript, sense intronic to HN1
AGUGCCGCCAUACUCUAAUCUGCCAGUAACGCGAUCAAUGCUAGAAACAUAAUAGAAGGGAAAAAACAGAGAAUCCUUUAAAAUUACAUAUAUUGGCUGGUCUCGAACCCCUGAGCUUAAGUGAUCCUCCCACCUCAGCCUCCCCAAGUGCUGCUAUUACUGGCAAGAGCCCCAGCACCCAGCUGAGAGCUUUUUGUAUUUAUGUAGCUAUUUAUCACAGACUAGCCAAGUGCAGUAUUGAGAAGAGGGGAAAGAGUAAAACAAGGAGGUUGAUCUGUAACUAUGAACAAGAUAACUCACUACCAGCCAGAGAGAGCUUUUUAAUAUAACCAUUUCAAGCUCAGCUCACAGCAUCCACUUUACAAAGUUCAUUUGUUUUUAUAGGGAGAUGCUUAUUCAGCAAGACAUUGGUUACCUGCUUGGUGAUUUUGUAAAUGAUGAUUUAGGGGGCAGAUGUAAAUUUUCAGCUAACCAACCAUAUUACGAAUUAUAGGUGGAAAUGAGCUGUAAUCAUUGACUUAAUUAUCUUAAAUCUUGGAGGUAUUUAUUGGCAUUUCUGUAACAAGUGCUAAAGACUUGCCGAUGAGUGCAAGGUUUGUAAGUGUCAGGCAGUAGCAGUCAGUGAAGUGCAGCAGUCACAAGGCCCUCUGGUCUAGACAGAAGCAGCAGCUUCCUCUUAAGGCCUUUUCCUACCCUUAUGUUUUGUGGUGUGCUUAC